UACGGAGGGUGCGAGCGUUGUCCGGAAUCACUGGGCGUAAAGGGCGCGUAGGCGGCGCGGGAAGUCAACGGUGAAAGUUCGGGGCUCAACCCUGAAUCGGCCGUCGAUACUCCCGGGCUCGAGCACUGUAGAGGCAGAUGGAAUUCCGGGUGUAGCGGUGGAAUGCGUAGAGAUCCGGAAGAACACCGGUGGCGAAGGCGGUCUGCUGGGCAGUUGCUGGCACUGAGGCGCGACAGCGUGGGGAGCAAACAGG
rnacentral:rRNA from 1 species